rnacentral:tRNA from 1 species
UCACCCGUAGCUCAAUUGGUUGAGCACUCGACUGUUAAUCGAUAGGUUGUAGGUUCGAGUCCUACCGGGUGAGCCA